ACCUGGAGACGCCACCUGAUACUGCUGUGGCUAGAGUCCGGUAGGGGAGCGUGGAAUUCCUGGUGUAGCGGUGAAAUGCGUAGAUAUCUGGAGGAACACCGGUGGCGAAGGCGGCUUUCUGGCCGAAUACUGACGCUCAUGCACGAAGGCUAGGGGAGCAAACAGGAUUAGAUACCCUGGUAGUCCUAGCGGUAAACGAUGGGCACUAGGUGUCGGGGGUAUCGACCCCCUCGGUGCCGCAGCAAACGCAUUAAGUGCCCCGCCUGGGGAGUACGGCCGCAAGGUUGAAACUCAAAGGAAUUGACGGGGGCCCGCACAAGCAGUGGAGUAUGUGGUUUAAUUCGAUGCAACGCGAAGAACCUUACCUGGGCUUGACAUAUACUGGAAAGCCUCAGAGAUGAGGCCCCUCCGAAAGG
rnacentral:rRNA from 1 species